rnacentral:tRNA from 1 species
UAAGGGAUAGCUCAGUGGUAGAGUGCCUGCUUGGCAUGCACAAGGUCCUGGGUUCAAUACCCAGUACCUCCA